AGAGUUUGAUCAUGGCUCAGGAUGAACGCUAGCGACAGGCUUAACACAUGCAAGUCGAGGGGCAGCACGUCUUCGGAUGGUGGCGACCGGCGCACGGGUGAGUAACGCGUAUGCAACCUACCCAUCAGAGGGGGAUAGCCCGGCGAAAGUCGGAUUAAUACCGCAUGAUAAUCAUAAAUUGCAUGAUUUAUGAUUUAAAGAUUUAUUGCUGAUGGAUGGGCAUGCGUUUCAUUAGAUAGUUGGUGAGGUAACGGCUCACCAAGUCUACGAUGAAUAGGGGUUCUGAGAGGAAGGUCCCCCACACUGGUACUGAGACACGGACCAGACUCCUACGGGAGGCAGCAGUGAGGAAUAUUGGUCAAUGGGCGAGAGCCUGAACCAGCCAAGUCGCGUGAAGGAUGACGGCCUUAUGGGUUGUAAACUUCUUUUAUAUGGGAAUAAAAAGAGUCACGUGUGACUCAUUGCAUGUACCAUAUGAAUAAGCAUCGGCUAACUCCGUGCCAGCAGCCGCGGUAAUACGGAGGAUGCGAGCGUUAUCCGGAUUUAUUGGGUUUAAAGGGUGCGUAGGUGGUUGUUUAAGUCAGUGGUGAAAGUUUGUAGCUCAACCUAUAAAAUUGCCAUUGAAACUGGACGACUUGAGUAUGUUUGAGGUAGGCGGAAUGCGUUGUGUAGCGGUGAAAUGCAUAGAUAUAACGCAGAACUCCAAUUGCGAAGGCAGCUUACUAAACCCAUAACUGACACUGAAGCACGAAAGCGUAGGUAUCAAACAGGAUUAGAUACCCUGGUAGUCCACGCAGUAAACGAUGAUAACUAAGAGUUUGCGAUAUGACAGUAAGCUCUACAGCGAAAGCGUUAAGUUAUCCACCUGGGGAGUACGCCGGCAACGGUGAAACUCAAAGGAAUUGACGGGGGCCCGCACAAGCGGAGGAACAUGUGGUUUAAUUCGAUGAUACGCGAGGAACCUUACCCGGGUUUGAACGUGGUUUGACAGACUGAGAGAUCAGUUUUCUAGCAAUAGCAAAUCACGAGGUGCUGCAUGGUUGUCGUCAGCUCGUGCCGUGAGGUGUCGGCUUAAGUGCCAUAACGAGCGCAACCCCAAUUGUUAGUUGCCAUCAGGUAAUGCUGGGCACUCUGACAAGACUGCUUCCGUAAGGUUGAGGAAGGUUGGGAUGACGUCAAAUCAGCACGGCCCUUACAUCCCGGGGCGACACACGUGUUACAAUGGUAGGGACAAAGGGCAGCCACCUGGCGACAGGGCGCGAAUCCUAAAACCCUAUCUCAGUUCGGAUCGGAGUCUGCAACUCGACUCCGUGAAGCUGGAUUCGCUAGUAAUCGCGCAUCAGCCAUGGCGCGGUGAAUACGUUCCCGGGCCUUGUACACACCGCCCGUCAAGCCAUGGGAGCUGGGGGUACCUAAAGUCUGCGACCGCAAGGAGUGGCCUAGGGUAAAACUAGUGACUGGGGCUAAGUCGUAACAAGGUAACCGUA
rnacentral:rRNA from 1 species